rnacentral:rRNA from 1 species
UACGUAGGGUGCGAGCGUUGUCCGGAAUUAUUGGGCGUAAAGGGCUCGUAGGCGGUUUGUCACGUCGGGAGUGAAAACUCAGGGCUCAACCCCUGAGCCUGCUUCCGAUACGGGCAGGACUAGAGGUAUGCAGGGGGAGAACGGAAUUCCUGGUGUAGCGGUGAAAUGCGCAGAUAUCAGGAGGAACACCGUGGCGAAGG